rnacentral:lncRNA from 1 species
CAAGCACAAAGGCAAUUGAAAACAAAAGGUGAAAAGAGCACCUGAACUCAGAAUCAAUUGAGGGUACUUUUAACAUCCUCAAAAGGAUUUGUCAAAGAUGGAAAUAAAAAUAAAGUGAUGCUGUUCCAAUACUUUUUUUUUCUUUUAAUAGCAAGUGGCACGUUAUAAGUACAUGACAAAAAUGAGGUACAGUAAGUGUUAAUUGUGUCAGGCGUUAGUCAAACUCCUUUUGUUAGCUUGUUCAUAACAAUCUUACUAACUUUGCGCGCCUUACAGCUGUUCGUCCGUUUCUGAGUCUUAAUCAUUUGCAAGCUCAUCUUUCUCUUUGUUUCUGUGCAGAGGGCAAGGAGAUGGCAAAUCUGAUGAAGAAAGUUGGUGUUUGAGUCAAGCCAAAUGCUGCAUCAUGAAUAGCGAACUUCCGGAAGGCCCGUUGAGAAGUACCAUGAAGUUUCUUCUGCCAUUAAAACUGACAAGUUACAAAUAUACUGUGAAAGACAGAAUUUAAGGAUAUGUGGAAGUGAUGCAGCUCAUGAUGUGCUUCAGAAAAAGAUAUAGUAAGGAUGGAGGAACAUCUUCCACUCUGAUUGGAAAAGCCAGCAAAUGUGGAUGGAUUUGUGGGAUCUCCAGGAGUUCUGUAGCUAGCUCCUUCCUACUUAAGGAAAUGGAGAACCAACCCAAUUCUGCAGCACAACCUCUGUAGAAUCCGUGUAUUGCCUCUGAUGGUGACUCUAAACCACAAGACAGAGAAUUCAUCCAUCACCAGCCCCCUAACAUGUAUUUCUGGUGACCUGUUGAACGCUGAAAAUCCCUACCAGCCUGCAUCUCUUUCCUGGGGAAACCAGGUGUGAUGGGAUGAGAAGAGAGAAGAAAUAUUGGGUGACUUGUCCAGUGUAAGGUCAAGAUAAGGUAGAGACAUGCACCCACAUCUGACAGCUACAAAGGGUGCUGCUAAAUCUCACAAUGCACACAUAAGGAGAGGCAUAAACUAGAUAUACAGGUUAAGAAGGACGAAGUUCUCUGCUCCCAUUCUGUUUAAGCUGUCUCCUGUCUGUACUGGGAUGCAUUCGGCCUACUUAUUUUCAUUAUUUAUACUGUUUACUUUUUCCUUCACUUGAGCAGUACCAUGUAGUCAUUUUCUGUGAUUUUUGGUCAUUUCUUUGGAGUUUCAUAAACUGGCCAAAUGCUGCAACCUGGACUGUCUUAACUGCAGAGAGAUAGCAUUAAAUAACCUGUGCAUUUCUACUGGAAUAAAAGCAAUGUAUAGUAACA